rnacentral:rRNA from 1 species
GACGAACGCUGGCGGCGUGCUUAACACAUGCAAGUCGAGCGGAGCGGCGAACGGGUGAGUAACGCGGGAGUAACUGCCCCCCACUCUGGGAUAAAAGUUAGAAACGGCUGCUAAUACCGGAUAGUGGGGGAGGACUCGCGUCCUUACAGCUUGGUGGUGGGGUAGGUGCAUACCAAGGCGACGACGGGUAGCCGGCGAGAGAGGGCGACCGGCCACAUUGGGCUGAGCUACGGCCCAAACCCCUACGGGAGGCAGCAGUGGGGAAUAGUGCACAAUGGGGGAACCCCUGAUGCAGCAACGCCGGGUGCGGGAUGACGGCCUUCGGGUUGUAAACCGCUUUCAGCCAUGACGCGGUAGUGGCAGAAGAAGCACCGGCUAACUACGUGCCAGCAGCCGCGGUAAUAC